ensembl:lncRNA novel transcript
ACAACACACAAGGUUUCCUUCCUUCCUUUCUUUUUUUUUCUUUUUCUGAGACACGGUCUUGUUCUAUAGCCCAGGCUGGAGUGCAGUGGUGUGAUCAUGGUUCAUUGUAGCCACAAACUCCUAGGUUCAAGUGACCCUCCUGCCUCAGCCUCCCAAGUAGCUGGCACUACAGGUGCAUGCCAUCAUACCAGGGUUUUUUUUUUAAAUUUUUUUAUUUUUUUAGAUAUGGGGUCUUGCUACAUCGUCCAGGCUGAAUACAAGGUUUUCCGAACAAGCUUCAGACUAGAAUCAGAAGGCUCUGGGCUAGUGGAGAGGGCGUACAGGGAGAGUCAGGAGAAAGUCGGUCUGGUGGAUGGUCAGCAGAUGAUGAAUCAGUUUUGGCUUUGCCAAGUUAUUUAACCUUUCUGAGCCUUAAUUUACUCAUCUGGAAAAUGGGGAAAAUACAGAGCAGGUUCUGGAGGCAGGCAAGCUAAAAUUUUAAUCACUUUUAGCAAUUUGACCCUGAGAAACUACUUUCAGCUUCCCUUCGCCUGUUUCCACUUGUGUAAAAUGAGAGUGAUUAUGAUCUAUCUCAGGGCUAUAAGAAUGAAAUAUGAUAAUACAUGUUAAGUGUUUAAGACUGUGUCUGGUGCAUGGUGUUUAAUAAAUGUCAGCAGUAUGUAUACUAGGAUGGGUCUGAGGAUUGGAGAAACGGAUGCAAAGCACCUAACAUCCUGCCUGACACAUAAUGGGUGGCUGAUAAGCAUCAGCUAUCAUGCGACUUUGAGCAACCCGAUAAAUAUUUUUUAAACAAAUGCCCACAGGAGGAAUGUGUCUUUUUCAUCUUUGACUCUCUGCCACUUAGAGGUAUUAGUUUCUUAUUGCCGCUGCAACAAAAUAGCACACAUUUAGUGACUGAAAACAACACAAGUUUAUUACGAUAUCUCUGGAAGUCAGAAAUCCAAAACGGCCUUCAUUAGGCUAAAGUCAAAGUGUCAGCAGAACUGCUUUCCUUUUAAAGGCUGCAGGGGAGACCCUUUCCCUGCUUUUUCCAGGUUCCAGAGACUUCUUGCAUUUCUUGGCUCAUGUCCGCUUCUUCCGUCUUCACAGCCAGCAGUGAAGCAUCUUCAAAUUUCUGUCUAUGACUCUGACCUCACUUCUGCCAUCUCAUCUCCUUCUCUGAGUCUAACUCUCCUUCUCUCUCUCUCUCUCUAUUUAUUUAUUUUUUGAGAUGGAGUUUCGCUCUUGUUGCCCAGGCUGGAGUGCAAUAGCGCGAUCUCAGCUCACUGCAACCUCCGCCUUCCCGGGUUCAAGCAAUUCUCCUGCCUCAGCCUCCUGCGUAGCUGGGAUUACAGGAAUGUGCCACCACACCCGGGUUCCUCCUUCUCUUAUAAGGAGGUUACGCUGGACUCACCCAGCUAAUCAAGGACAAUCUCUCCAUCUCAAGAUCCUUAACUUAAAUCGCACAUCUGGAAAGUCCAUUUUGCCAGUUGACUGUGGGUAAUGAAAGCUGCAGAAAGCAAAACCGCGGAUCAGAGGGGACAAUGCUGCUUUUUGGAACUCUGUUAGGAGACCAACAUAAACCGAAGAAACUACGAACUAAUACAUCAUGAAAUACUUCUUCUAUUUGGGAGGUGGAGAAACCAUCCCCUUCUCCACCAAAAUGACACUUAAGAAAGAGACCCCAGGGAGGGUAGCAGUGGAAUGAGGGUAGAAAAUAACUGAUGAAGGUCAGUUUCAGCCUUCCUGCCUCCAACCUUCUCACAGACUCCAGUGCAGAAGAGGAUGUAUUCAGCUUCCUAAAGUCUGUGUGUACCACUAACAGGUUAGGAAAUGAGUUAAAUGCCAGAUUCUUAAAUGUUGCAUGUGGGAGGAUCUGAAACAGAGACUUCAGUCACUUUGCCUCUGCCUUAAACACCCACACAACAGAAAUGGAUCACGGCAUUGGCUGAGCAAGAGAGAAGAGCAGAGAAGCAAGAAUACUAGAAGUUACUCUGUUUUUUAUACAGGUCGUGCCUUCCUGAUCUGAAAGUCUGAAAUGCUCCAAAAUUCAGAACUAUUUGAGCUCUGACAUGACU